rnacentral:rRNA from 1 species
UACGUAGGGGGCAAGCGUUGUCCGGAUUUAUUGGGCGUAAAGAGCGUGUAGGCGGCCAAGCAGGUCAGCUGUGAAAACUCGAGGCUCAACCUCGAGACGUCGGUUGAAACCGCUUGGCUAGAGUCCGGAAGAGGAGAGUGGAAUUCCCGGUGUAGCGGUGAAAUGCGCAGAUAUCGGGAAGAACACCCGUGGCGAAGGCGGCUCUCUGGGACGGUACUGACGCUGAGACGCGAAGGCGUGGGGAGCGAACAGG